ensembl:lncRNA
AUGGGCCAGAAUAUACAAUUAAAUAUAAGCUUACCCUAUCUUUCAUCUGUGUAUGCUGUCUCAAAUAUCUCAGGUGUCAGUUGUAUCUUGAGACUGCAGUCUAAAGUGCUGGUUUCCUCUUCAUGCUGUUCCUCAAAAUAUCUGUGUGUUCUUCUUUCUCAGAUGAAAGGAAGCACCCCAAAGAACUACAAAAGUCCUCUUCUUACAGAUGAAGUAAGUGAGAUGCUGAUGCACAUUUACACUUCAAUCUACAAUUAUGCUUGUUUUUUUCUAACCACAUCAAUGCACUUCCUAUUGUUGACACAGGAUGUGGUACAUAUCAUCUUACAGGACGUGUGUGUGCACGCUAUUUCUCUUAACACAUUGUAGACAUAAAUGCAAGCUUUUUAAUCAGGAAACACAAGCGUUUUUGCCAUAUUGUUUGUGCCUUCCCUUUUAAAGCUCAGUGUAUUCCCUUAUAGACCUUAAUCACUGCUGGGGGUGCCGGGAACAAUCGCACUCGGGUUCGAACCACAGCAAAUGAGCCCAGUGUGAAAGCCAGCUAAGCUUCAUCCAUGUCUAAUGUCUGCUUUGUUUUUCUCCAUAAGCUAUGGCCGAUAACAAAUAUUUUUAAACUCUUUUAAACCAAAGCUGAGCUAUCCCAUACCCUCUCGCUCACAAGCGCUGGUCAAUGCAGCUGUCUGUUGUUGUUGCAGUCUUUGCUAUUUUGAGGUUGUGAAAGGAUACAGCAAAAACCAGAAGCUAACAAUAUAUUGAAUUUUCUACCUAUUAGAUUGUGUUUUAUUAACGGCUACACCUACACCUACCCCAAACCUAAACCUAAACCUACCCCUUACAAUAAGGCAAAAAUAGUAAUUAUUGUUGUACAGUGUGAGAAAAAUUACACUAUAUUGAUGUGCACAUGCCCAGUAGUUUUUGCUUUAUACCUUCUAGCCUUAACCCUAUUUUGAUGUUGUUGUUCCGUCUCGUUAAAAAGAAGUGAAGUAUACUUUACAAUGGUAUAAAGGUCCAGGAUCAAUUUUCACAACUUUAAUGUUUUAUGGAGUUUUUGUCUGUUGAAAGUUUUUGAAAAAAUAUUUCAACAACUGAACAAUCACUUAACAAUGUCCACAUCCUCAUAACAUUUACAGGGUCAAAAACACAAUGCUAUAUUUCAUAUGGUGAGAGCUGAGGAACUCAGAAAGCAGUUGUAUUAUAGAAACAGGAAAUCUAUUUUUGCAAGUAGGUCAGACAGUCAUACAGAGAGUAUCUGCAGAGUGUGUCAUGAAAAGGAACACUUGGGCUCAGUUUAAACCAAGAGGUGUCUGUCUCAUCCAAUCAUAAUGCACAGUACUCAACAUAUGUAGGGUCUUAUGAUUUUAGGGUUGAU